UAGGGAAUCUUCCACAAUGGGCGAAGCCUGAUGGAGCAACGCCGCGUGUGUGAUGAAGGCUUUCGGGUCGUAAAGCACUGUUGUAUGGAAGAACAGCUAGAAUAGGAAAUGAUUUUAGUUUGACGGUACCAUACCAGAAAGGGGCGGCUAAAUACGUGCCAG
rnacentral:rRNA from 1 species